rnacentral:sRNA from 1 species
CAAAGCUACUCUUUUCUGUCGGCCCAGUGUAGCAUCUGGCGGUUUUCUUCUCUCCACCCUGCUCCUCCGAAGCGCGGUGUCCAUCACACCAAGCCCGUUACUCCCUCUGCUCUGAAAUCUUCCCCAUCCCGCAGCCUGCCCUUCUCCAGGUCGCUGGAGUUAGAUUACCAUACUUCCUCCUGCCUCCGGGGCACCAUGGUGAAGGCUGACUGUCCUGUCCCUAUCACAGACCUGCCAGAUUCCUCUGGUAAACUGCAGGUUCCCUCUGCCUCAGUUGUGGCCAGGGAUUCUGACCAGGAGAUGAUGGGAACUAGAUGGAGUAAAUUAGUGUCACGUAGGAAGGCAGGACCGUGCAGCAUUCACCAACCUGGAUUUUGGAGUCAGGGUUCAAAUCUGAGCUCUGCUGUCUUAUUGAGGCGGUGACCUUGGUUUGGAUAAGUUAUGUAACCUCUCUGGCCCUCUCAAAAUAAGGAUAAUCACGGUUGGCAUCAAGAUUAAGUAAAAUAAUGUGUGUAAAUUGUAAGGAAUAAAUCACAUGAUGAAUGUUAAGUACUGGGUUUAGUGCCUGGCACAUAGUAAGUGCUUAAUAAAUGGAGGCUAUUGUUAGCCCAUCCUGAGCCAAGCCUCCCUCCAUCUCUGCAAGAGCAGAGGAGGCAUCGGCUCUGCCCUGUCUCUCUGAUUCUCCUUUGUGGAAGAGUCAGUGGCCUGAAAUACUGGGCUUUAUCUAUCUGUCUUCUACAUCCCUGGGUCAGGGAAUUGAAGACAGGGUAGAAAGCAUGGGAAUUUUGUAUAAACCUUCAUUUGGCUUCAAUAAGGUACUGGAAACCGAGGAAUUGCUUUACUCACCUUCCCUAGGCCUUAGGGGCCCCACUCCUCUUCUUCCUCCCAGCAGCUGGUCAUAACUUCAGUGACUUCUCUGUGUGUGCUUGGAGAGUCCCGGGGAGCAGCCUGCAGGGGCGGGUGAGAGGGGGAUCUCCCGCUUCAUGUUUCUUGUAGUACGGCUGUAAGAAUUGUGGCAGGGCCUUCUGUUCAGGCUGCCUAAGCUUCAGUGCAGCAGUGCCUCGGACUGGGAACACCCAACAGAAAGUCUGCAAGCAAUGCCAUGAGGUCCUGACCAGGUAAGAGGCAGGCAUGGGUGAAAGUUCAGCCAAGUAUGGCAGUGGGCAUCUGGCCAGCCCUCACAGCUUUGUACUCUGUCGCGAGAGUCAGCCAAGGAAGUUUUUGGAGUUGGGGGCACUGCUUGGUGGGAUGGCAGGAUUUAUAACACUAGAUUUCUUCUCUGUAGAGGGUCUUCUGCCAAUGCCUCCAAGUGGUCACCACCUCAGAACUAUAAGAAGCGUGUGGCAGCCUUGGAAGCCAAGCAGAAGCCCAGCACUUCCCAGAGCCAGGGACUGACCCGACAAGACCAGAUGAUUGCUGAGCGCCUAGCACGACUCCGCCAGGAGAACAAGCCCAGUGAGCAGGGGCAGAUGGGGUUGCCUAGAGGACACAGUCCAGGGCUUCUGGGACUGAGAUGCCUCUGGCCCUUACAAGGCUCCCCCGAUGCCAAUUGCAGAGUUAGUCCCCUCACAGGCAGAGAUAGAGGCACGGCUGGCUGCCCUAAAGGAUGAACGUCAGGGUUCCAUCCCUUCCACCCAGGAAAUGGAGGCACGACUUGCAGCGUUGCAGGGCAGAGUUCUACCUUCUCAAACCCCCCAGCCGGCACAUCACACACCGGACACCAGGACCCAAGCCCAGCAGACACAGGAUCUGCUAACGCAGCUGGCAGCUGAGGUGGCUAUUGAUGAAAGCUGGAAAGGAGGAGGCCCAGUGACCCUCCAGGACUAUCGCCUCCCAGACAGUGAUGAUGACGAGGAUGAGGAGACAGCCAUCCAAAGAGUCCUGCAACAGGUGGGCCUGGAUUACCCACCUGCCACCCCUUGUCCCAUCUCCGCCUCAUUGCCCCACCUCUACUCUGGGGCUGGGUGGACAGUAACUGUGAAGCUCCUGUUCUCUUUGGGCCCCCCACUGUGACCCAGACCCAGACCUGCCCACUGGUCUCUGGAGAUAGGGAAUCAGCAGUCACAGGCCACAAGUAAAGAAAAAGAUGAGUUUGAGAAGCUAAGUCCACAGUGCACAGAAAUACUGGGAGAUGGAGGGCCUGGGCCUGAAGCAGGGGAGUGGUACGUCUUCACCCUGUCCGCAGCUCACUGAAGAAGCUGCCCUGGAUGAGGCAAGUGGCUUUAACAUCCCUGCAGAGCAGGCUUCUCGACCCUGGACCCAACCCCACAGGGCAGAGCCUGAGGCCCAGGAUGUGGACCCCAGGCCUGAGGCUGAGGAAGAGGAGCUCCCCUGGUGCUGCAUCUGCAAUGAGGAUGCCACCCUACGCUGCGCUGGCUGCGAUGGGGACCUCUUCUGUGCCCGCUGCUUCCGGUGGGUGCAGGUGGAAUGUUCUGUGCGAGAGCUCAAGGGCUGCCUGGAUCCCUGACUUGUAUCCCUUUGUUCCACAGAGAGGGCCAUGAUGCCUUUGAGCUUAAAGAGCACCAGACAUCUGCCUACUCUCCUCCGCGUGCAGGCCAAGAGCACUGAAGACACCCUGGUCCUCCCGGAAGGGCAGUCCCACAGGCAGCGGCACCCAUUUCUGGGCCCAGCCACAGGACGUCCGAUGGGAGAGCUUGUCUGGCUCUACUGAUGAUGGAUAGGUCCCUUCCUGAGCCUUGGUGUCCCUGGAAUGAGGAAAGAUUCUCCAUUCGAGAGAAUGACUGGGAGGGAAGAAGUCGGGGCCCUCCUAUUAGAAGCCCAGACUGGAAGUGAGAGGCAUGAUGGGGAGAGACCAGACUGAAUCUACGGGUGAGCCCUGUAACCUGGCUCUAGGGCACAGGCCCCUCCCCUGGCACUUAGUGGAUCUAAUAAAGUAUGUUGAUUCAUUGGG